rnacentral:miRNA from 1 species
CACGCCGGGAUGCAGCGAGGC